rnacentral:lncRNA from 1 species
UGAUUUGCACUUGGGCAAAGGACAAUGCAAUGCUAUGCAGUGGACUAUGUUAUAUUAAUGACCUAAUCAUUAAAUGAAUGUACAAAAUGGGAGGUGCAAAUUUGAGGUGCUACACAUUGGCAUGAGAUUCAGAAGAUAACAACAAGGAUAACAUCGAGAUCUUAGACGGAGUAUGCCCCAACUGUUCUACCACAUCGAAAUCACUCUUGCGGAUGAUUUUCAGCACUUCUUCCAUUUCUUGUUUGGCAACAUCUUCGGUAGUAACUUCGACCGGUGUCUCUGACUGAGAAGGGUUGACUGGUUCCUUUCCUUGAGUUUCAGGGGCGGGAGGUGAGAUUUCUGGAGAGAAGAUCCUUCCACUUCGAGUAAUUUUACUAGUCCCAACAAUGCCAUUAGGAUUAGCAUAAUUAUCAACUUGCUUUACGCCAUGGAUGUAAACAUCACCUCCAUAAUUCCACGGAAUAGCUUUGCUUGAGGAAUACGGUACUGGGCCAGGUGCAGUAAUGAUUAGGGGAGCUACCUUGGGCUCAGCAGUAAUCUUCACAGGCGCCCUAGUAGCGGUA